UACGAAGGGGGCUAGCGUUGUUCGGAAUUACUGGGCGUAAAGCGCACGUAGGCGGGUCGUUAAGUCAGGGGUGAAAUCCCAGAGCUCAACUCUGGAACUGCCUUUGAUACUGGCGAUCUCGAGUUCGGGAGAGGUGAGUGGAACUGCGAGUGUAGAGGUGAAAUUCGUAGAUAUUCGCAAGAACACCAGUGGCGAAGGCGGCUCACUGGCCCGAUACUGACGCUGAGGUGCGAAAGCGUGGGGAGCAAACAGG
rnacentral:rRNA from 1 species